rnacentral:rRNA from 1 species
GGACGCAAGUCUGAUGGAGCAACGCCGCGUGAGUGAAGAAGGGUUUCGGCUCGUAAAGCUCUGUUGGUAGUGAAGAAAGAUAGAGGUAGUAACUGGCCUUUAUUUGACGGUAAUUACUUAGAAAGUCACGGCUAACUACGUGCCAGCAGCCGCGGUAAUACGUAGGUGGCAAGCGUUGUCCGGAUUUAUUGGGCGUAAAGCGAGUGCAGGCGGUUCAAUAAGUCUGAUGUGAAAGCCUUCGGCUCAACCGGAGAAUUGCAUCAGAAACUGUUGAACUUGAGUGCAGAAGAGGAGAGUGGAACUCCAUGUGUAGCGGUGGAAUGCGUAGAUAUAUGGAAGAACACCAGUGGCGAAGGCGGCUCUCUGGUCUGCAACUGACGCUGAGGCUCGAAAGCAUGGGUAGCGAACAGGAUUAGAUACCCUGGUAGUCCAUGCCGUAAACGAUGAGUGCUAAGUGUUGGGAGGUUUCCGCCUCUCAGUGCUGCAGCUAACGCAUUAAGCACUCCGCCUGGGGAGUACGACCGCAAGGUUGAAACUCAAAGGAAUUGACGGGGGCCCGCACAAGCGGUGGAGCAUGUGGUUUAAUUCGAAGCAACGCGAAGAACCUUACCAGGUCUUGACAUCCAGUGC